GGGGACGUAGCUCAUAUGGUAGAGCGCUCGCUUCGCACGAGAGGCACGGGGUUCAAUUCCCCGCGUCUCCA
rnacentral:tRNA from 1 species